GCAUAUCAAUAAGCGGAGGAAAAGAAACCAACAGGGAUUGCCCUAGUAACGGCGAGUGAAGCGGCAACAGCUCAAAUUUGAAAUCUGGCGUCUUUGGCGUCCGAGUUGUAAUUUGCAGAGGGCGCUUUGGCAUUGGCAGCGGUCCAAGUUCCUUGGAACAGGACGUCACAGAGGGUGAGAAUCCCGUACGUGGUCGCUAGCCUUUACCGUGUAAAGCCCCUUCGACGAGUCGAGUUGUUUGGGAAUGCAGCUCUAAAUGGGAGGUAAAUUUCUUCUAAAGCUAAAUACUGGCCAGAGACCGAUAGCGCACAAGUAGAGUGAUCGAAAGAUGAAAAGCACUUUGGAAAGAGAGUUAAAAAGCACGUGAAAUUGUUGAAAGGGAAGCGCUUGCAGCCAGACUUGCCUGUAGUUGCUCAUCCGGGUUUUUACCCGGUGCACUCUUCUAUAGGCAGGCCAGCAUCAGUUUGGGCGGUUGGAUAAAGGUCUCUGUCAUGUACCUCUCUUCGGGGAGAACUUAUAGGGGAGACGACAUGCAACCAGCCUGGACUGAGGUCCGCGCAUCUGCUAGGAUGCUGGCGUAAUGGCUGUAAGCGGCCCGUCUUGAAACACGGACCAAGGAGUCUAACAUCUAUGCGAGUGUUUGGGUGUCAAGCCCGAACGCGUAAUGAAAGUGAACGGAGGUGGGAACCCCUCGGGGUGCACCAUCGACCGAUCCUGAUGUCUUCGGAUGGAUUUGAGUAAGAGCAUAGCUGUUGGGACCCGAAAGAUGGUGAACUAUGCUUGAAUAGGGUGAAGCCAGAGGAAACUCUGGUGGAGGCUCGCAGCGGUUCUGACGUGCAAAUCGAUCGUCAAAUUUGGGCAUAGGGGCGAAAGACUAAUCGAACUAUCUAGUAGCUGGUUCCUGCCGA
rnacentral:rRNA from 1 species